rnacentral:lncRNA from 1 species
GGACAUACCUCUUGGUUUACUUGCCUUAGUGACAUAUGAUCCAGACUCCGGAGACAAAGGAAGGUCAGCCCCAUAUAUAAAUCAAUCUCUACAUCAGCCUGAGCUAUGGUGAGACCCUGCCCAUCCCCCCUCCAAAAAAAAGUUUUGGUAUACUUUUUUUUUCUUUUUUCCUUUUUUCAGAGCUGGGGACCGAACCCAGGGCCUUGCGCUCGCUAGGCAAGCGCUCUACCGCUGAGCUAAAUCCCCAACCCCCAUACUUAUUUUUUUAUCUAAAGAAAGUUUCUUUUGCAGGGUUAUUAAUAGUUUGUGAGGUGCAUGUUAGAAAUGCUGAUAAGAUAAAAGCAUAAGCUAUUGGUUAAA